rnacentral:rRNA from 1 species
GAUGAACGCUGGCGGCGUGCCUAAUACAUGCAAGUCGAGCGAAUGGAUUAAGAGCUUGUUCUUAUGAAGUUAGCGGCGGACGGGUGAGUAACACGUGGGUAACCUGCCCAUAAGACUGGGAUAACUCCGGGAAACCGGGGCUAAUACCGGAUAACAUUUUGAACCGCAUGGUUCGAAAUUGAGAGGCGGCUUCGGCUGUCACUUAUGGAUGGACCCGCGUCGCAUUAGCUAGUUGGUGAGGUAACGGCUCACCAAGGCAACGAUGCGUAGCCGACCUGAGAGGGUGAUAGGCCACACGGGGACUGAGACACGGCCCAGACUCCUACGGGAGGCAGCAGUAGGGAAUCUUCCGCAAUGGACGAAAGUCUGACGGAGCAACGCCGCGUGAGUGAUGAAGGCUUUCGGGUCGUAAAACUCUGUUGUUAGGGAAGAACAAGUGCUAGUUGAAUAAGCUGGCACCUUGACGGUACCUAACCAGAAAGCCACGGCUAACUACGUGCCAGCCGCCGCCGUAA